rnacentral:rRNA from 1 species
AUUGAACGCUGGCGGCAUGCCUUACACAUGCAAGUCGAACGGCAGCACGGGCUUCGGUCUGGUGGCGAGUGGCGAACGGGUGAGUAAUGUAUCGGAACGUACCUUUCAGUGGGGGAUAACGUAGCGAAAGUUACGCUAAUACCGCAUAUUCUGUGAGCAGGAAAGCAGGGGAUCGCAAGACCUUGCGCUGAUUGAGCGGCCGAUAUCAGAUUAGCUAGUUGGUGGGGUAAAGGCCUACCAAGGCGACGAUCUGGAGCGGGUCGGAGAGGAUGAUCCGCCACACUGGAACUGGGGCACGGUCCAGACUCCUACGGGAGGCAGCAGUGGGGAAUUUUGGACAAUGGGGGCAACCCUGAUCCAGCCAUGCCGCGUGAGUGAAGAAGGCCUUCGGGUUGUAAAGCUCUUUCGGCCGGGAAGAAAUCGCAUGGGCUAAUACCCUGUGUGGAUGACGGUACCGGAAUAAGAAGCACCGGCUAACUACGUGCCAGCAGCCGCCGUAACAC